AAGUCGUAACAAGGUAACCGUAGGUGAACCUGCGGUUGGAUCAUUAUUUUAAACUUAAUAUACUUUUGGUUGUCCUUUACUCUUCAAAAUGGUUAAAAAUUUUGAAGUUUUUUUUAAGGCAACUAAAAAACCCCUUUUAUAACUUUGUUUCGAAAGAGACAAAUGAAAUUUUGUGGUAUUUUUAACUUACGUUAUAUUCUAAUCUUGAAUUCUCUUUUAGGGGGGGAUUCAAGUUUAGGAUUGUUUAUCAAAAACAUUUUUUUUUUUAUGAAUUUUUUUUUUUACAUGAUUUAUAUAAUCAAAUAACAACUUUUGACAAUGGAUCUCUUGGCUCUC
rnacentral:misc_RNA from 1 species